UAAAAGCUUAUAUUUAGAUUUAAUUUUAAUUUGUGGUCUACACGCGCUGUCAGGUGUGAUUCCACGUCAUAUUUCAUUUUUUUACUAUAAAAAUUAAUUCCACAUCAUAUGUCAUUCAAUUCUUCUUCUUCUUUUCUUUUUCUUCAAUGGCUUCUUCUUCUUCUAUUUUUUUUUUCUUUUUCUUCAAUGGCAUAAUGAAUCAUAUGGAAUUCACAUAAUAGAUAAUCUUAUCAAAAUCAAAUCAACAAUAAGUGUCUCGCAUGCAAUUACAUCUUUAAUUUAUAAUACCGCAGACCCUUUUUUUUUUUCAUUUUUCUUCUUCUUCCUCCCCGUUUAAAACUUCAUUCGUUUUCACUCUGCUAGCAACCUUGUUGUUUUUUCAACCCCAAAUUUCAGUAUGUUUCUCCGGUUACCACUAUAAUUAGUUUUUACUUUUAUUGAUUCUCUAGAAGAAAUAAAAAUACGAUGAAAAGUACUUUCUUCCUUGCAAAAAUCUAACUUACUGUCUGUGGCCAUUUGCAUAGUAAAAAUCUAACUUACUUUUAAUCUGAAUUGAUUCAACAUUCUCACGUAAUUCGAAUUCUUGGAUGCCAUUGAAGAAGAUGAAGAAGAAGAAAAAAAAAAUGUCAUUGAUGAGUUCUUGGAUGUCAUUGAAGAAGAAGAAUAAGAAGAAGAAGAAUUGAAGAAAAAGAAAGAAAAAUAAUAAUUAUAAUAGAAGAAGAAGAAGCUGAAGAAAAAAUGUCAUUGAUGAGUUGUUAGAUGCCAUCGAAGAAGAGAGUGUGUUUCGCUCUCUUGCCAUGUCAGUGUUGGGGGUAAUAAUUCUAUUUUAAAAUAAUUCAGGGGAUUAUAGGACCCUUACAAAGAAUAAAUAUGUAGUUGACAUUUGAAGUAAAUAUUGUGGGGCUUUUGAUUAUUUUCUCUUUUUUUAAAAAUAUUUUAAUUAUAAAUGUAAUAUUUUAUUAAAAAAUUAACUUGAUUGAUGAUAUUUUAGAAUUUCAAAUCUGGGUAUUAUCAAUAUAUUCAUUUAAUACUUAAGGGUAAAAAAAAUAUAAUAUUUUUUUUUAAUUUUAUAAAUUAGAUAAUUCAUGGGCUAAGUAAAUGAAAGGGAGGGAAUAAUAUAUACAAAACUUAUAUUAGUAUAUGUUGUCCGAUUUUCAAACUUUUUGAAAGGAAACGAAUGAAGAAGAAAUUAAGGAGAUUCGACGUACAUUAUUCAUGCAAAAAUAUAAAUUUAGGCCUAGCUAUUUUUAUCUCUCCAAAUACAAUUGUCAAGAUUAAUGCUCGGCCGACCAUGAGUAUUUCUUAUUUUUUUCAUGAGUUGAAUUUGAAAUCAUGUUUGUCAAUAAAAAUAAAUUGAAAAAUAAAACUUCAACUUUAAGUUCAAUUUCUAAAUUUUUCGAAAUUUGCAAAAAAGAUGUUUUUACUUCAAAACUUUCUAAUCUUUUUAAAAAUAUAAAGGAACUCACACCCUUCUCCUUUUCAAAUCAACCGUGUCUCUCCUCUCUCUCGACAGUCUCUCACAACUCUCUCCCAACCAAUAGUUUUACAAAAUUUCUAUCUUCAAUCCACGACGACUUCAAGCUCCGACGACAAAUAGCUGGGUGAGUUCCUUUUCGACUUUCAACCGUCAAUCAACGUGACAAGCAGCGUUCUCCGGCAACAACAACUUCGAGUUCUUCGUCGUCCCAUUUCUUCUUUCACAAAUAAAAAAUUAUGUUUUUUUAGUUAUGAAGAAAAAGAGGAACUUGAGCCACUUUCUUCUAGUAUUGGUUAACAAUUUCAAUAUUUCUGGGAGAAAAUACUCAAUUACCCUUCUGAACUAUACUCAAAAGGGCUAUG
rnacentral:lncRNA from 1 species